UGUGGGAGCGGGCUUGCCCGCGAUGGCAAUGGGUCAGGCACAGCCUCUACAAACUGAUGCACCGCCAUCGCGGGCAAGCCCGCUCCCACA
rnacentral:misc_RNA from 1 species